GUGAGGGAUAUUGGGCAAUGGGGGCAACCCUGACCCAGCGACGCCGCGUGAGGGAAGACGGUCUUCGGAUUGUAAACCUCUGUCUUUGGGGACGAAAAAGGACGGUACCCAAGGAGGAAGCUCCGGCUAACUACGUGCCAGCAGCCGCGGUAAUACGUAGGGAGCGAGCGUUGUCCGGAAUUACUGGGUGUAAAGGGAGCGUAGGCGGGAAGGCAAGUUGGAUGUGAAAACUGUGGGCUCAACCUACAGACUGCAUUCAAAACUGUUUUUCUUGAGUGAAGUAGAGGCAAGCGGAAUUCCUAGUGUAGCGGUGAAAUGCGUAGAUAUUAGGAGGAACACCAGUGGCGAAGGCGGCUUGCUGGGCUUUUACUGACGCUGAGGCUCGAAAGUGUGGGGAGCAAACAGGAUUAGAAACCCUUGUAGUCC
rnacentral:rRNA from 1 species